UGCGGGAUGGAGCAGUCUGGUAGCUCGUCGGGCUCAUAACCCGAAGGUCGUUGGUUCAAAUCCAGCUCCCGCUACCA
rnacentral:tRNA from 1125 species